rnacentral:rRNA from 1 species
AUUGAACGCUGGCGGCAUGCCUUACACAUGCAAGUCGAACGGUAACGGGCCUUCGGGUGCCGACGAGUGGCGAACGGGUGAGUAAUGUAUCGGAACGUACCUUUCAGUGGGGGAUAACGUAGCGAAAGUUACGCUAAUACCGCAUAUUCUGUGAGCAGGAAAGCAGGGGAUCGCAAGACCUUGCGCUGAUUGAGCGGCCGAUAUCAGAUUAGCUAGUUGGUGGGGUAAAGGCUCACCAAGGCGCCGAUCUGUAGCGGGUAUGAGAGGAUGAUCCGCCACACUGGAACUGAGACACGGUCCAGACUCCUACGGGAAGCAGCAGUGGGGAAUUUUGGACAAUGGGGGCAACCCUGAUCCAGCCAUGCCGCGUGAGUGAAGAAGGCCUUCGGGUUGUAAAGCUCUUUCGGCCGGGAAGAAAUCGUAUCAGCUAAUACCUGGUGCGGAUGACGGUACCGGCAUAAGAAGCACCGGCUAACUACGUGCCAGCAGCCGCAGUAAAAC